UAACCUGUGCCCUCGCGGAGGAAGUGAGAACCUUGGGCAGGGGAGGGAACAGGAGCCCUUGGCUGCGAUGCAAGGGACCGCAGAGGGCAGUGGUCGGGAGUCCUGGUGCCUCACAAGGGGUGGUAGCAGGAUGGCCACAGGCUCCAGCCUGCUCCUGUGUGGACCUCACACUCUUUGAUGCUAUUCAUUAAUCCUGGAUCAAGUCCCUCUCCCGCAUGGACUCUCCCGAAGAAGGGUAGUGGCUACCUCGAAUUUCAGAGCUGCAUCUCAAGUGGCAGGCCACGGCAGCGCCCACAUGGCUGAGAUACACCAAAGCUCAACUGUCUGGGGGCACAGUUGACCCAAAUCCCCAGCAGAGAGGCCCAUGUGGAACCAAGGCCUCCCACCAACGGUCAACAGCAGCAGCUCGUUGCAAGGCGAAGACGCUGCCUAGAAGUGUAUCCUCCCAGCUGGCCAAGGCUUCUAGUGGCAGCAGCCCUGGCUGAGAUAGGGACUGCGGCCUCACCGAGGGCCUGAGCCAGAAUAUGCCCAGCCAAGUGGGUCCCGAAUGCCUGACCCCAGUGGGAGGUAUCUCCAUGAAGACACCAUGGGGCGGUUGGCAGGUUCAUUUCAGCCUGGAGUCAGCACAUGUGAUUGACGGUGACUCCCAGAAAGCAAUGAUCAAUCGGCCACAUCUAUUGGAGCUGGGGUGGGAGGAGGCGUGCCAAGGGCCACAGCCAUGUAGCAUCAACCCCUUGAAGGAGAAAUCAAUCUCUCUUCAGUUCUGUGGGGUUCACGGUGAGAUGUGAAAGGCUGUUACCCCUGGACUCCCUGGGACUGCUGGGCAAUAGGCCAUGGAGUCCAUUCCAUUAUUUAAAAAUGGCAAGCCUAGGCCGAGGUGGGUGGAUACCUUGAGGCCAGGAGUUCGAGACCAGCCUGGGCAACAUAGUGAGACUCCGUCUCUACCAAAACAUACAAAAAUUAGCCAGGCAUAGUGGUGCGCGCCUGUAGUCUCAGUUUACUCACGAGACAGAAGUGACAGGAUCCCUUGAGCCCAGGAGUUCAAGACUAACCUGGGCAAUAGAGAUCUCCCAUCUUUAUUUUUUUAUUUUAUUAUUUUGAGACAGAGUCUCGCUCUGUCGCCCAGGCUGGAGUGCAGUGGCAUGAUUUCAGUUCACUGCAACCUUCGCCUCCCGGAUUCAAGCGAUUCUCGUGCCUCAGCCUCCUGAGUAGCUGUGAUUAUAGGCUCACGCCACCAUGCCUGGAUAAUUUUUGUAUUUUUAGUAGAGACGGGGUUUUACUGUGUUGGCUAGGCUGGAGAGAGACCCCCAUCUCUACAAAAAUAAUAAUAACAGUAACGUAAAAAUCAGCAGGGCAUGGUGGCACGCGCCUGUAGUCUAGGCUACUUGGGAGGCUGAGGCGGGCAGGGUCCUUUCAGCCCAGGAGUUGCAGGCUGCAGUGAGCUGUGAUCGUACCAGUGCACUCCAGCCUGGACGACAGACCAAGGCCCCUUCUUUGAAACAUAAAUACAGGAAAAAUUUAAAAAUGGGAAACCUGAGCCCUCUUGGUUUGAGGCGACAGAGGAGGAGGUGGACAGCAGGCUUCCUUGACCUGGAGUGUGCUGCUCCCCAUCCAUACACAGGGUCGCACAAGCACGUGCUUGCUCUGGGCAGCAGCUGCCUCGGCUCAGGGUAGCUUGACUUCACUGUUGCUGGUGUGUGCUUUCUGUGGUCUACUUUGGUGGCCUGGUCUUCCUGCGGUGACGGCUGCUCACAUGGCCUUAGCUCUGUCCCACCCCUGGCCUCAUCCUUGCCCGGCUGGAGCGCCUGACGGCCCACUGUCAAGCACUUCUUCUCCUGGUCUGUGACUAUGGUGACCGUCUGCCCUGGAUUUGCUAGAAGACCAAUUUUGCUUUCCUCAGUAAAGAUGUUUUGAAAUUCAUGUUUACACUUUCAUAAGAUUUUUUCAUGUAAGUAAAUGCAUAUAUCAGGAAA
rnacentral:lncRNA from 1 species